rnacentral:rRNA from 1 species
AGAGUUUGAUCCUGGCUCAGGACGAACGCUGGCGGCGUGCUUAACACAUGCAAGUGGAGCGACGAACCAGGCUUCGGCCUGGGGCAAAGCCGCGAACGGGUGAGUAUCACGUGGGUAACCUGCCCCGAUGACCGGGACAACCCGAGGAAACUCGGGCUAAUACCGGAUGUGCUGUACGGCCUCAAGGCUGUACAGGAAAGGAAGCUUCGGCCUCCGCAUCGGGAGGGGCCCGCGGCCCAUUAGCUUGUUGGUGAGGUAAAGGCUCACCAAGGCUGCGAUGGGUAGCUGGUCUGAGAGGACGAUCAGCCACACUGGGACUGAGACACGGCCCAGACUCCUACGGGAGGCAGCAGUGGGGAAUCUUGCGCAAUGGCCGAAAGGCUGACGCAGCGACGCCGCGUGCGGGAGGACGCUCUUCGGGGUGUAAACCGCUGUCAGAGGGGACGAAGUCCACGGGGAGGCAAUGCCUCGUGGUUGACGGUACCCUCAGAGGAAGCACCGGCUAACUCCGUGCCAGCAGCCGCGGUAAUACGGAGGGUGCAAGCGUUGUUCGGAAUUAUUGGGCGUAAAGCGCGCGUAGGCGGCCGUUUAAGUCUCACUGUGAAACCUGGGGGCUCAACCCUCACGCCUGCAGGGGAUACUGGACGGCUGGAGAUAGGUAGAGGCGAGCGGAAUUCCGGGUGUAGCGGUGGAAUGCGUAGAGAUCCGGAAGAACACCAGAGGCGAAGGCGGCUCGCUGGACCUGUUCUGACGCUGAGGUGCGAAAGCGUGGGGAGCGAACAGGAUUAGAUACCCUGGUAGUCC